rnacentral:rRNA from 1 species
UACGGGGGGGAGCAAGCGUUGUUCGGAUUUACUGGGCGUAAAGGGCGCGUAGGCGGCGCAACAAGUCACUUGUGAAAUCUCCGGGCUUAACCCGGAGCGGUCAAGUGAUACUGUCGUGCUAGAGUGCGGAAGGGGCUACUGGAAUUCUCGGUGUAGCGGUGAAAUGCGUAGAAUAUCGAGAGGAACACCUGCGGGCGAAGGCGGGUAGCUGGGCCGACACUGACGCUGAUGCGCGAAAGCCAGGGGAGGCGAACGGG